UCCCAUUUCACUCUGUCAUCAUCCCUCUCUCUCUCUCACAGUUCUGUCUCUCAUCAUCCCUCCUCUCUCUCUCUCUCUCUCUCUCUCUCUCUCAUCAUCCCUCUUCUCUCUCUCUUUCUCUCAAGCGACCCUCCUACCGGACACCUUCCACCACUGUCGCACACGAGCACCUACCUCCUCACCGGCGACGGGACAACCCACCUCCCCACCAGCGACGGUACCACCCAUCUCCACACCAGCGACGGACAACAGUAGCUACUUUGAUUUGUCUCUCCUCCAGCGCACACCAGGUUUUCUUAGGGCUAGUUGAUCACGAGAAGGAAUCAAUUUAGUCUAGAGCAGGGAACACACCAAUAUAAGGUCAUGUGAGAUUAGAAAACAUUGGGCAAAAUGGACACUACAAAAAAAUAGUUGACCAAACCAAGUACCGCAACUAAGAAGGCUGCAGUUCAACAUAAGAAAUUAAGGAAGGAAAAACAAAUACCAAUUGAGGAAAAUGACGAUGAUUAUCGACCGUCAGAGGCUGAAGAUGGCAGUGACACUGAAUCCUAUGAUUCGUUUGAGCAUGAGUUGUUAGAGAUACCAUCGAGAGCCUGGGGAGGAGUAUGCAAGAAACCACCCACCGAAGGAUGUUGAUCCUACCAUGUGGAUAGAUCUUAUUGAUAAAAAGUGGAACACUAAAGAAUUUCUGGAGCAAUCAAAGGCCAACAUCGCAAAUAGAGAAAGGAUGUAUACAAAACAUAGGUGUGGUUCUAGGUCAAUCCCUGUUAGAAUAGAAAAACUGAUUGGAUUGGGGUGGCAUUUUUGACGUGCAACAGUGAUGUAAUUUGCUUGAAUGUUCAUUUUUGUUUGAUAAGGAUACACAUACUUUGUGGAGUUGCAGUAGUUAUUGUUGGAUGUUUGGUGGAAUUGCACAAGUUAUAACUUUUGGAUAUUUUGUGGAUAUUGCACUAUUUUAUUGUAUUAGGAUGAAAUUAUUUGUGAUAAUGAAUGGAUACUUACAU